rnacentral:rRNA from 1 species
UACGUAGGGUGCAAGCGUUGUCCGGAUUUAUUGGGCGUAAAGAGCGUGUAGGCGGUUUGGUAGGUCCGCUGUGAAAACUCGAGGCUCAACCUCGAGACGCCGGUGGAAACCAUCAGACUAGAGUCCGGAAGAGGAGAGUGGAAUUCCGUGGUGUAGCGGUGAAAUGCGCAGAUAUCAGGAAGAACACCCGUGGCUAAGGCGGCUCUCUAGUACGGUACUGACGCUGAGACGCGAAAGCGUGGGGAGCGAACAGG